UACGGGGGGGGCAAGCGUUGUUCGGAAUUACUGGGCGUAAAGGGCUCGUAGGCGGCCAACUAAGUCAGACGUGAAAUCCCUCGGCUUAACCGGGGAACUGCGUCUGAUACUGGAUGGCUUGAGUUCGGGAGAGGGAUGCGGAAUUCCAGGUGUAGCGGUGAAAUGCGUAGAUAUCUGGAGGAACACCGGUGGCGAAGGCGGCAUCCUGGACCGGCAUUGACGCUGAGGCGCGAAAGCCAGGGGAGCAAAGCGGG
rnacentral:rRNA from 1 species